rnacentral:rRNA from 1 species
GACGAACGCUGGCGGCGUGCCUAAUACAUGCAAGUUGAGCGAUGAAGAUUGGUGCUUGCACCAAUUUGAAGAGCAGCGAACGGGUGAGUAACGCGUGGGGAAUCUGCCUUUGAGCGGGGGACAACAUUUGGAAACGAAUGCUAAUACCGCAUAACAACUUUAAACAUAAGUUUUAAGUUUGAAAGAUGCAAUUGCAUCACUCAAAGAUGAUCCCGCGUUGUAUUAGCUAGUUGGUGAGGUAAAGGCUCACCAAGGCGAUGAUACAUAGCCGACCUGAGAGGGUGAUCGGCCCCAUUGGGACUGCGGCACCGCCCAAACGCCUACGGGAGGCAGCAGUAGGGAAUCUUCGGCAAUGGACGAAAGUCUGACCGAGCAACGCCGCGUGAGUGUAGAAGGUUUUCGGAUCGUAAAACUCUGUUGGUAGAGAAGAACGUUGGUGAGAGUGGAAAGCUCAUCAAGUGACGGUAACUACCCAGAAAGGGACGGCUAACUACGUG